rnacentral:ncRNA from 2 species
CUUCGUGCUCCGGGGUCGGUGAAAGUCCGAACCGGCGGUGAAAGUCCGCGACCCGAGCCGCCUCGGCGGCCUCGGUUGAACCGGUGGAACUCCGGUACCGACAGUCACAGUCUGGAUGGGAGAAGCACGAAG